UUCUGCAACUUCCGGUCCUUCCUACAUCAUGCAUUGCAUGCAGUAAGGCUGAUGUUAAUAAACGUUAAUGACCAAAUAAUCAGCAACUAAAAUAUAUGUCAGAAUGUGCUUGAUUAAAUGUCGCAAAUAAUUAUUUUAAUCGAAAAUUAUGGAUAAUACAAAGUAUUAUAUUUGGUGAGCUUAAUUACUUAUACAUAUAUAUUAAAUCAACCAUGCAUCAUGAAAUGACCAUGGAUUACUGAAUCAUAACUUCAACAAAAAGGAUUGCAUCAUAUUUAGGAAUGAAUGCUUUGUUCAACAUAGUAUUAACAUUGCGGGAUUUGAAAUCAAAGAGAUGUGAAUCGUUUAAAUGUAAUUGGCACUAUGCAAAUGAAAUGACUCGAUUCUGAUCAGAAUCGUUUUGAAAAUGUUAAUGCACACAUUUAUUGCAUGCUGUACAAACACUGGCGAUAUCCCUGUAAAAAGAUGUGGAAGUAUAAUUAUGUACACAAAUAUAUUAAGCUGAACCUAAA